rnacentral:rRNA from 1 species
UACAGAGGUCUCAAGCGUUGUUCGGAUUCAUUGGGCGUAAAGGGUGCGUAGGCGGCGCGGUAAGUCGGGUGUGAAAUCUCGGAGCUUAACUCCGAAACUGCAUUCGAUACUGCCGUGCUUGAGGACUGGAGAGGAGACUGGAAUUUACGGUGUAGCGGUGAAAUGCGUAGAUAUCGUGAGGAAGACCAGUGGCGAAGGCGGAUCUCUGGACAAAUCCUGACGCUGAGGCGCGAAGGCUAGGGGAGCAAACGGG